rnacentral:rRNA from 1 species
UACGUAGGGGGCGAGCGUUGUCCGGAAUCAUUGGGCGUAAAGCGCGUGUAGGCGGCUUGGUCAGUCCGGCGUGAAACCUCUCGGCUCAACCGGGAGCCUGCGCUGGAUACUGCCUCGCUCGAGUCCGGGAGGGGAGAGCGGAAUUCCCAGUGUAGCGGUGAAAUGCGCAGAUAUUGGGAAGAACACCGGUGGCGAAGGCGGCUCUCUGGAACGGUACUGACGCUGAGACGCGAAAGCGUGGGGAGCAAACAGG